rnacentral:SRP_RNA from 1 species
GCUGGGUGUGGUGGUGUGCACCUGUAGUCCCAGCUACUUGGAAGGCUGAGGCAAGAGGAUCACUUGAGCCCAGGAGGUCAGCGCUGCAGUGAGCCAUGAUCACACCACUGUACUCCAGCCUGGGCCACAAAGUGAGACCCUGUCUUAA